CACGUAGGGCGCAAGCGUUGUCCGGAAUUAUUGGGCGUAAAGAGCUCGUAGGCGGUCUGUUGCGUCCGCUGUGAAAACUCGGGGCUUAACCCCGAGCCUGCAGUGGAUACGGGCAGACUAGAGGUAUGCAGGGGAGAACGGAAUUCCUGGUGUAGCGGUGAAAUGCGCAGAUAUCAGGAGGAACACCGGUGGCGAAGGCGGAUCUCUGGGCCAUUACUGACGCUGAGGAGCGAAAGCGUGGGGAGCGAACAGG
rnacentral:rRNA from 1 species